AUGAAUGGCCUCAAGUUUAACUUUUGCUGUUGGAAUGUUCGUGGUCUUGGCCAAAGUCAGAAAUGCUCGGACGUCCUCUCUGAGCUCAUUGCCAUUAACCCUCAUGCGUGUUUCCUUCAGGAAACUAAACUCAGCUCUAUCACUAACUCCUUACAAAAUAUUCUCCCAAAACACCUCGAUCUCACCCACACCCUGCCGGCUACGGGCUCGGCCGGAGGCAUUCUCUCGGCCUUCUCAUCCUCUCAGUUUACUCUCCUCACUUCGGACGCUGGCCACUUCUCCCAAACUUCUACGAUCUCCUGCCUUGCCUCCCCUCAAAAGCUCGCCGUCACAAACGUCUACGCACCAACUGACCAUGCCCUCAAACAGGAUUUUCUGUCUGAGCUUGCCUCCUUCGUACCCCCCUCGCCCACCCCCUGGCUUAUCUUGGGCGACUUCAACCUCCUCCGGCGCCCCUCGGACAAAAACACGCAUAACUUCAGGCAAUCUGAAGCUGACAUGUUCAACGCUUUUAUCCACCUUCAUGGGCUAAUCGAGCUUCCUCUCCUUGACCGCUGUUACACUUGGUCGAGCAAGAGGGAUCAGCCCACCCUCGAAAAAUUAGAUCGAGUUUUCAUUAAUGUUGACUGGGACCUCCUCUUCCCAAACACCACAAUCGCUUCACUAACCCGCUAUAUCUCCGAUCAU
rnacentral:rRNA from 1 species